CGGACGGGUGAGUAACGCGUGGGUAACCCGCCUUGUACUGGGGGACAACAGUUAGAAAUGACUGCUAAUACCGCAUAAGCGCACAGUAUCGCAUGAUACAGUGUGAAAAACUCCGGUGGUACAAGAUGGACCCGCGUCUGAUUAGCUAGUUGGUAAGGUAAGGGCUUACCAAGGCGACGAUCAGUAGCCGACCUGAGAGGGUGACCGGCCACAUUGGGACUGAGACACGGCCCAA
rnacentral:rRNA from 1 species